UACGACCUACGGGGCGCAGCAGUGGGGAAUAUUGGACAAUGGGGGAAACCCUGAUCCAGCGACGCCGCGUGAGUGAAGAAGUAUUUCGGUACGUAAAGCUCUAUCAGCAGGAAAGAAAAUGACGGUACCUGACUAAGAAGCCCCGGCUAACUACGUGCCAGCAGCCGCGGUAAUACGUAGGGGGCAAGCGUUAUCCGGAUUUACUGGGUGUAAAGGGAGCGUAGACGGAGGAGCAAGUCUGAUGUGAAAAUCCGGGGCCCAACCCCGGAACUGCAUUGGAAACUGUUUAUCUAGAGUGUCGGAGG
rnacentral:rRNA from 1 species